GAUGAAGAACGCAUCGAAAUGCGAUAAGUAAUGUGAAUUGCAGAAUUCAGUGAAUCAUCGAAUCUUUGAACGCACAUUGCGCCCGCCAGUAUUCUGGCGGGCAUGCCUGUUCGAGCGUCAUUUCAACCCUCAAGCCCCCGGGCUUGGUGUUGGGGAUCGGCGUGCCCUCGCGGCGCGCCGUCCCCUAAAUCUAGUGGCGGUCUCGCUGUAGCUUCCUCUGCGUAGUAGCAACACUCGCACUGGAUCGCAGCGCGGCCACGCCGUUAAACCCCCCACUUCUGAAAGUUUGACCUCGGAUCAGGUAGGAAUACCCGCUGAACUUAAGCAUAUCAAUAAGCGGAGGA
rnacentral:misc_RNA from 1 species